rnacentral:sRNA from 1 species
CACUAGUGACGCUUAGGAGGUGUUGGCUUGGGCCUUGUUGAGGAUGACACCCUCGUACUUGACCUGGAACCACUUCAUGGCAUCCUCCUUGGUGACCCUGUGCUGGAUACCAACACGGGACUUGCACCUACGGCGCCGCGCAACACGGUACCCAGCACGCUCAAGAACGACGUAGAAGUCCAUACCAUUAUGGGAUUAUAUAAUCUUACUUGAUGCCAAGAUCAAUGUGCUCCUGGAUACCAAAACCAAAGCAUCCAGUCUCACUGAAGUUCCUCCUCAGCAGCUCGUACUCCUUCACCUUCAGGCCACUCUCCAGGAGCUGCAUUGCCUUCUCACCACGCACUGUCACGUAGCACGCGAUCUUCUCAUUACGCCGGAUGCCGAACGACCUCACAGUGUACCUCGCUGCAAUAUCGCAUCAUCGUCACUCCAAGUGCAUCGUGAUUAUUACCUUCGAGGCGCGGGUGAGGCGAUCUCCGCUCUCGCCGACGGAGAUGUUGAGGACAAGCUUCUGCACCUUGAUCUCCCGCAUCGGGUUCGCCUGCUUCUUCUCCGACGCCUGCGAGCACAGAAAC